UCCAUAGACACAUGCACAGAGUCCUUAAAAGAGGGAGUCCGCAUCGAAACCAAAAUCCCCGUCAUAGCAAAGUGGUACAAUCUACGAAAGGUAAGCGACGCCUGCAAUUUUUAAAAAAAUUGCUUUAAUGAGUGACCCAAAAAUGGCAGCAUCUGGUAAUCUGGAGAAGGGUGCUGUAAUGGAUCCCUCACCUGGAGAAAGAAAGAACAAAGCCUUGAGAAAAAAAGCAGAGGAAAGAGUGAUCUCACAUCUGUUUAAGUUAGUUGCACAUUUUGGGCUUUAUGAGUUUUAUGCAGAGAAGGCGAAUCCGGAAAAUGAAUGGCAAGAGACGAAGAAGAUCUGGAUGGUAGGAAUCCCCAUAUUGUCUUGCAACACCGCUGUCAUCACCACUAUGCCAACAACAGAUGGAAGUUUAGCGCAAGUUGUGUUGAUUCUCAAUACCCUGUCUUUCAUGCUCACCUUGAUUUUGGUCAUCACCCCCAUUGCAAUUCCUUCUCUCCGUAUGCUCAACAUAAAACGGUUCGUGCUGGUCAGCGCCGGAAUUGUCACAGCAUGUAGCUAUUUAACCUACGUGGGCAACAAAAUGGGACGCAUGGCACCUAGCUCUGUUGCUGCCAUCUUCGUCUCAGGGCUCUUUGUGUUAUUUAUAACUAUUCUAUUUCUGAUUCCGCUUAUGUUGGGUGCUCCUCCUCUCACACUCGCACCCGGGCCCUCCUCAGUCGCCUCUGCUCCACAGACUGGCGAGCGGAUUGCUUGACUCCAGGUCCAUUCAGCAAGAAUGUGCAACUUAUUCCCUUGUAUUGACGGAGAUCAAGUACAAAGGGUAUAAAUUAUUUCCUUGUACUAAUAGAGAUCAAGUGCAAUUUUUUCCCUUGUUACCUCAUAUUCCCUUAAACCGAUAGAGAUCAAGUUUAACUUAUUACCUUAUACUCCCUUGUACUGAUACAAAUCGAGUACAAUUUACUCCCUUAUUACCUUGCAUUCCCUUAUGUUGAUAGAGAUCAAGUGCAAUUUACUCUCUUUUACCAAUAGAAAUCAAUUACAACUUGUUACCUUGUACUCUCUUGUACCAAUAGAGAUCAAAUACUAUUUACUCUCUUAUACUAAAAGAAA